AUGACAAAGAAGAGUUUGAUCCUGGCUCAGGAUGAACGCUAGCGAUAGGCUUAACACAUGCAAGUCGAGGGGCAGCAUUAUUUCAGCUUGCUGAUUUAGAUGGCGACCGGCGGAUGGGUGCGUAACGCGUAUGCAACUUACCUGUCAGAGGGGGAUAACCCGGAGAAAUUCGGACUAAUA
rnacentral:rRNA from 1 species